AGAGUUUGAUCAUGGCUCAGAUUGAGCGCUGGCGGCAGGCCUAACACAUGCAAGUCGAAUGGUAACAGGAAAAGCUUGCUGUUUCGCUGACGAGUGGCGGACGGGUGAGUAAUGUCUGGGAAACUGCCUGAUGGAGGGGGAUAACUACUGGAAACGGUAGCUAAUACCGCAUAACGUCGCAAGACCAAAGAGGGGGACCUUCGGGCCUCUUGCCAUCAGAUGUGCCCAGAUGGGAUUAGCUAGUAGGUGGGGUAACGGCUCACCUAGGCGACGAUCCCUAGCUGGUCUGAGAGGAUGACCAGCCACACUGGAACUGAGACACGGUCCAGACUCCUACGGGAGGCAGCAGUGGGGAAUAUUGCACAAUGGGCGCAAGCCUGAUGCAGCCAUGCCGCGUGUAUGAAGAAGACCUUCGGGUUGUAAAGUACUUUCAGCGGGGAGGAAGGGAGUAAAGUUAAUACCUUGCUCAAUUGACGUUACCGCAGAAGAAGCACCGGCUAACUCGUGCCAGCAGCCGCGGUAAUAC
rnacentral:rRNA from 1 species